UGGAGUUUGACAUCAUAAAAGAAAAUAUAGAUAUACAUAAUAGGUUCCACUUGAUACCUUGCUUUCUAAGAGGGAUUCAGUUAGCUUCAGCUUUUCAUCCACUUUUGAGAGUUCAUCAGUCAGCUGGGGAAUAAAAGAAGCAAGGACAAGAGGUACAGAUAUCAGCAUCAAUUAAUUAUAUUUAAUUUAAUCUGCUGGAAGGUUAUGGCUACGAGUAACUUGAAUACAGUUUCAUUACACAUGGUGGUGCAAUAAAGUUGGAAACAGCAUCAAAAUUUCACAAGGCGCAUCAUAAGCAACCAUGAAAUCCACCAGCAAGUUAAGCGACUGCUUGGUAGUUGCCCACAAUGGCAUUGGAAAUGACUGAAAACAAUCAAAUUACACAUGGAAUCGAAAUGUGAGGCAUGCUGUGCUUCCUCGUAGCUUCUAAGUUAGGACAGAGGGACCAAACCUCGGUACCUAGCUUACUUCUGCAAGUACUGGUUCAGCAAAUCAAUUAAGACAACCCAGCAAAUGUAAUCAUCUUCGUUUACCACUAAAUGGAUCUACAUUUUCUCAAAUAGAUCUUAACCUAUGACUCAAGAUGCAUUGACAACAUUCCAUCAAAAAAUAUGCGGUGAACUACUGAACUACAUACGAGCUGAUCCUAUAUUGAAGAUGACCUAAACUAAUUAUCAGCCAAGGUCGUCGUAGAGGCACGCAACGCUUAGAAGCUCUAAUGUAAUGAUAACACGAAACAUGGCGCUACAUCAGAAGGAAACCUCUAAAAUUGUAACCUAAACUGGAGGAAGACGUCUACGUAACCAUGGUGAAAGAGAAACCGGAACAAAAUUGACCGAGACGGAAAUAAAAAAGGUAAAGGAGAGCGGAUAUGGAAAAGGAAAAGUGCCAGACCUCCUCAACGGCCUUCUCUCGAAGUCGUUCCGAUAGUC
rnacentral:lncRNA from 1 species